CCCUGGAGGGCAGAUAUCCAAGAAAUCUCUGCCGUUGUUGGAAAAUCAAAUAAAGGACUGUCAAAAGGAAAUAGCAGAGGAGUUACAAAAAUAUGGUAUGCACAUCCCACAAGAUGAGACCAAGAAAACAAUCUUCCUGAUAGAGAAAAUUAAUGUGUUCAAUCAGGACAUCAUUGCUCUAGUCCAAGGGGAAGAAAAUGUAGGCACUGAUGGCACCCAGCUGUUUGCCAAACUCUGAUGUCAGUUCGCAUCUUGGAGUUCCAUGAUUGAAAAUCAUUUUAGAAAAGAGAAAUCACCAUGUGAUUGUUAGAAAAAUCUACAAGGUUAUUUGGUAAAAUAAUGCCAAGCUACCCUUUCUUGGUUAUGAUGGUUUACAAAGUGAAGUCUGGAAAUUUGAAAACCAGCAUGACAGCAGAGAGCUGCCUGGAUUUUUGAACUACAGGCCAUUUCAGAUCAUUAAAAAGCAACUCCAGGCCCUGGAGGAGCCAGCUGUAGAGAUGCUACAUGAGGUCACUGAAAUGGUCUGGAAGGCCCUCAUGGAUGUUUCUGAAAAAAAACUUUACUGAGUUUUUUAACCUCCACAGAACCACCAAGAACAAAAUAGAAGACAUUUGAUCAACUCAAAAAGAAGCAGAGAAGGUGAUCCGAGUUCACUUCUGGAUGGAGCAUAUCAUCUACAUCCAGGACCAGACUUACCAAGGUGCCCUGCAGAAGGUCAGAGAGGAGGAUGCCAAGGAUAAGAGAAAUAAGGUCUCUCAGUGUUCAGGGAAUACUGCUAUGGGUGAAAUCCUCCAACAUCUGCAUGCUUACCUCCAAGUGCAUGUGCUCCUGUCGCAGCCCAGGGCCAAGUCCUCCCUUCCUUCUGAGGGCCCCUGUGUCUGGGCUGUGGGGCGCCAGGUGGUGGUCAGCCAGCUCAGGUGUGGCCUCCUGGAGCAGCUCCACCUCAGCUAGUCAGAGGCGCUGGGAGCUUAGAGCCCUGCACAGCGGCUUUGACUGCUGCAUCUUCUAUGCCUGGGGCUUCAUCUCUCUGAGCUGGCCUUUCUCUGUGUACAGUGGGUUUCUUCUGUGUCCUGGCUGCAGGCCUAGCACCCAGCAUCCUCCCUUCUGUCUCUACAAUGUGACCCUUGGAGGUCUGUAGAAACAGGGCUGACUGAUGUCUGGAGCUCAGUGUCCUCCAUGCACAUCCCUGUGGCCACACGGGCCAGAAUUCCAUGCAGUGGCUCUGAGGCCUUCCUGACAGUUGUGUCCCAUUCCCCACUCAGGGCUUCCAUGUCUCCGGCUUCCAGGAGCCACCUUUUGCUGCUGCCUUGUCCUCCUUUCUGGCCUGGGGACAGGCCACACCCAACUCCUCUGGUCCCAGAACCUGCAUCCCUGCUUAGCUCCCUCUGGGUGUCCUGCAGGGACAGACUUGGUGCUGGUCACUGCCUGGCCUCUUCCUGAGAGCAUGGCUCCUGACACAUUCAAUGUGGUUCACCAUCCCAGGAGGUCUGUGGCCACUUUCUUCCUACUUCCCAGAGAACAAAACUGAGUCACACGGGGUCAGCAGAACUUGCUGGGCCACCAGUACAUGUCACACUCCUGAGGUCAGUGUGUGUCAGAGAGAGCGAGUGAGGAGGACAGUGGGGCAGGAGGAGGGGUGGUGGGGACUCUGUCCUUGCUGGAACUCAGGCUCCUGCCCAGGGCUGUCACGGCUCAGACCCAGCUGCCAAACAGCCCAAGGGAUAGCCCACAGGAGAAGGCCUGGGCUGCUCUCCCCAGUUGCAGGUGUUUGAAUAUCCCCGAGUGGGCCUGAGUGCUGUGGAGCAUAUUUCACCCCCUUCCUUCCAGGAUUGGGAUGAUGAUCAGGGAAGCCAGGGACAGAGGCCAUAGCCACCCUGACUCAUGCGGAUCCUUCUGUGCCAAUGCGGAACCCCUUCUGCCCCAGCACAGGGGACACUGCUGACUCCACCCAGGCUGUGGUCUCCCUCCCUGGAGACCUGGGGCCUCUAAUGUUCCCCUGAUGAGAUCAGCAUCUCCUCCUUGGACUUGCUGUUCAGCACUUCUGUGAUCUGUCUCUUCUAGGAGUUUCACAACCACAUCUCCACCCACAUGCCCCUGAUCAUCCAGUACUACGUCCUGCAGAUGUUUGGCUGGCAGCUGCAAUAUGCCAUGCUGCAGCUGCUACAGGACAAGGAGGCCUGUGCCUAGCUCCUGAAGGAAUGGAGUGACAGCAGCAAGAAGAGUGAUUUCUUGAAGGAGCAGCUGGCACAGCUGUGCCAGGCCCAUCAAGAGCUCGCCAAGUUCCCAGUUAACCAGGCUCCUGGGCCCAGGAGAGGAGGCCUCGAGCAGCCUCUCCUGACAGCUGUGCUGGGGUGAUAUAGCCACUUAGUAGAUGCUCAGCAGGCAGAGGUAGAAGGCAGAUCUCUGCUUGUUAUCCAAUAGCACAUGGGGACCAAGAGGAGUAGGGAGAGCUAUUUGAUUUCAGCCUAAAGUGGACAGCCCCUCCCGAAAGCCCAGGCUGCACACUGGUGGGAAGAUGCCACCAUUCUGAAGGAGAUAAGGAUGUCACCACAGAACCCCACUUCCCCCCCCCAACCCUUCUUGUUCCAUCCCCCCAACCCCCAUCCCACCUCAGGCAGAGAAGCCAGGGAGGACAUUGAGCGCUGAGCUCUGCUGGGACCCAGGGAGGACAGUAGGCAGCAUGUGACCAUGUCCUCCCCGAGGGUUGUCCAGUCCCCAGGGCUCUGUGGGGCCAAGAUAGGCAUCACCAGCUACAUGUUCACAUCCACCCUCCCAAAGCCUGGCUCCAGUCCACCCUGCACCAGGGUCUCCUACCCUCCAGACCUGUCAGAGGGCAGAAUGAGGGACUGGGUACUGGGGACUGGCAGGAGAGGCCCCACCACUGUCAUUCAGGAGCCCUGCAGCAUCAGGACUGUGGAGACCAGAGGGGAUGAGGAGGAUCCAGGUGAGAGCUGAGGACCCAGGAGCAGGAGACGCUGUCUUGGGGAACAGGUGCUGUAUAGUUGGGGUGGGCAUUGGGGUCCUGUCCACAGAAAGCCUCAGAAAUGCCAUGGCCACCUCAGCACUGCACCCUCCCAGCUGGGGACUGGGCUCCUGGCCACAUUGGACUGUGGUGGGAAGGGUGGGGACUGGCCAGGGCGGGACUAGCAUUCCUGUCCCCUCCCACACAGCUUCACCCCAGGUGGCUUCUGACCCUGGGUUCUGUGACCUUGAGCCAUGGACAGUUCCAGGAUUUGUUCAUAGAGGCAACGAGGAGAAUAGUCAGCACUCCACAAGUCCUCAUCCUUGGCCAUAGCUGGGCAGUGCCCCCGUGCCUCCCUGUGAAUGAAGUCCCAACAUUCUUUCCUUACCUAUGUGGUGUUUCCUUAAAGUGCAGUGGGAGACGGGACUGUGCGUGCCCACAGUGGAUUUGGUGAUGUGUAGAGUAGUCUCAGAGUAGCUAAAAUGCACCUCUAAGCUGAAGGCAGGAUCCACCCUGAGGGAGCUUCCAGCACUCCUCAGGUCCACUUCCUCCUCCCACUCCACCCGGAUGGCAGCAGCAAAAGUGAGGGACUCCCAAGGGGAACUGGGUCUCCCCAGAGAGCUCCCAUGUGGGAUGUAGGACAGGGCUUUGCUUUCCUGGACUGAGGCACUAAGUCUCCAGGGACUCACUGGGGUGAGGCUCCUGGGCUGGACACCCAGAUCCCCAGGACAAGGUGGCAUCAUGGAGACACUGGCCACAUUUGCUGGAAUUGGAGUUGCCAAGACCAGCACACUCCAAGGUCCUCAUCUUAGAAGGAGGCACCUAGAGUUCUUCUCUGGGGAUGGUGACAAGGACCAGGAGCCAGAUGUCAGGCCCCACACUAAGCUAAGGGACAGACCCCUCCCCCAAGCUUGGAUGAGAGGGCUGAGGAUGCACGCACAGCCCAGGUGCCUGCAACACAGAGAGCAGGGAAAACUGCAGUCCUGAUUCCUAUCCUUUGAUAAUGCACUAAACAUGUUCAGUGAUCCAGAUGUGAACAUGCAGAGCCAAGCAGAAUCUGCUUGAAGGAUUGAGAAAGCAGAGGGGGAAAACACAAAAGAAAGACAGAGGAAGAAUUCCAUUUCAGUCAACCAUUAGAUACAUCUUGGUGCAGGGAAAGGUCAGUGUUCUUAGCAAAAUCGACCUUCAGGUCCCCACGGGUAUGCAAGGCAGUUGUUCCCAUAGCACGCCCAUCAGAGGGCCAUCCACAGCAAAGUAAUACUACUGCAUGGCCCAGUGAGGUGUGGGGAGUUUUAGGUACCCUAAGAGAUGGUCAAGCUGGAGCGUUUCUUCUGGAUUCUCCUUGGUAAUGAUUUCUCUUUUCAUCCAAACCUGCUUCUGUGGCUCAGAGGGCUCCUGAUGGGGCUGUGGGAACCCUCAGUGCUGGAGAGGGAGGGCAGUGCUCACUAGACCUGGGGCCUGCCUUUGUCACACCGCUGUAUCCUGCCCCUGCUCCUCCAGUGGACCCUAACUGUCUCAGUGAGGUUAGAUUUUGCCCAGGCCUUUGGAUACUUGUGUGAGUUUAGUGGUGAACCCUGGCAUUGUGCUGGGAGGGUCUCCAGUGUGUGGUCACCUCGGUGGGGUUGCUCCCAGGGUGUUCCCACAGACAUGUGUGAGAGUCCCACAGGCCCCACUUUGCCAGUUACAUUCCCGCUUAUGCAUGUGGGAAAGCUUAGCAACCAUUUCAGAAAACUGCCAAGGCUAUAAACCUCUUAUAUAGACUGAAAACCCUCCUGAACAUUCACCCCUGCAAACUCUGUGUCUAUGCACUGUGUAGUGGGAGCGUGCCCAACUCUGCCUCACAGUGCAGAGAACUCUCCAUGCCAGAACACUGUGUCUUCAUCUCAGUCAGUGAGGGCUCUGCUGUCCCAUCACACAGGACAGGAAUCUGAUGCUCAAAAGGGAGUGGCUUUCCAGGGGUGCACAGAGUUCCCCAGAAGAGAGCCUGAGUCUCAGCCCAUCAGUGCCCUGGUCCAGCACAGGCAACCCCUUGCCUGCCUGUAUUUGGUGCCCUCUCAGCACUUCUAUGUCCCUAUCACCCUGGGGGUUCCUCAGUCCCCUCCUCCAGCAGGUCCUGUACUUGUCCUCCCCAAAGGACCACGGGCCUCUGCUAGGUGCUCUGGGCAGCAGCUGGAAGGUGCUCUGGGGUGCUCAGUAUGACCUGAGGCUUUAGUGGCCCUGGAUGUGGAUUUUGAAAUAGAAGAACACUUAAAUUUUAUUAAAAUAAAUAUGCAGACGAGGGAAACAUGGACACGGGAAAACAGGAAACACCAAAGGAUGACUUUCCGAGGGGAGAGGAGGAAGGCCCAGCUAGUGGAUCCCUGCCUGGUGGGCAGGUCUGAGCAGCUGGAGAUGCCCUGCAGCCGGAUGAAGGAGGAGCUGCCAGAGGCAUGAAAUCAGUCUUGGCUGCUGUUGCCCAUGCUGGCUGCAGAUCCCAAGGUGACACCGAAGCCAGUGCAGGCUCCCACCCUCCCUCUCCUCCUGGGUCUCUCUUGAAACCUGCUGGGGUGGAUUGCAGUUCUGAACCUAGAGGAGGCACAAGAGGGGCAAGAGAAAAGACUUCCUUGACUGCCUUUCCCUCUGUCUUUCCCAAGGCAGAGGAAGCUCAUUCCUACCAAAGAGGCCCCAGCCACUGAGCCCACAGCAGGAUGGUUUCCUGUGUUUGGUUAACCACAUCCAUGGUCCCAGCCUCUUCCUUUGCUCCUGGCCCAACAGCAGCCUCUGGAGCCUCCUCCUAGUGGGGCCCAGCCUGACCCUGCUGCUAAGCCCUCAAGCACCCAGCCAGGCCUCCUCACCCUCGGGGUCCUACACACAGGGGUUCUAAUUGGGUCAGGAGUCUGUCCACUUGCAGAAUGAUGUCCAAGUCUGGCAGGUUGAACAGUGCGUAGGCCAUGUGCUGCUUCAGGCUGGCCAGUUCUGGGCACUGACAGAAGUCUCCUGGGUAUUUGACCAACCAGGUCUCCAGGAUGGAGCACAGAGCUCUAGGGGUGGUGAGGGGGGCAUAGAGUGAGAGUUCUGGGCUCUCCCUUGCCCUAACCUGUUAUGGACCCUGAGGGAGGGCUGCCAGGCAGAACCUGAUAUACGCAUGAGCACCUGGCCACAGAGGGCAGAGGUGUGGGCCCCAUGGUGCACAGUCUGUGCCCACACCUCCUCUGCAGCCUCCAUCCCGGAGUGGGCAUGCCCAGCUGGGCCUGUGCUGUGUGGGGAUGGAUCCGCACAGGGACCUUGCUGAGCCCUGGCCAUCCUGGGCUCCCUGCAUGCCCAGGGCCCCAGCCACACCUCUGUUCUCCUCCUGUAGCUGAAGCCCCAGACCCCAGCCCUCUAGCAGGAAGCAAAGUGUGUGACCUGGGUUUCCCCAGUGCACCCCAAGCCCAAUUACCCAGAUGUACCCCACUCUGGAGAGAGGAGCCCUCCCUCUCAGACCCAAGCUCUCUCAACUCCCAUUUUGCUUGUCCUCACAGUUGGGCUGAAGGAAGGCAUACCUGGAGUGGCCAGGAGGGUGUGGUCUUUUGGCACCAGAGCCCCCACCUCCCAGGAGGUCCAGGAGGACCAUCUGAUUGCAGCAUGGGGAGGGAAGCAGGGGAGGCCCAGAGGAUUAUCUGGGCUGCUCUCUGAGUGACAGGGAAGUGUCAUGAAAGGUGCCCCCCCACAGUAGGUGCUUUGCACACAUGUGUGCAGUGAUGGAGCUCUGCCAGGAUAUCUCCGUAUGCUGAGGUGCACAGUCUGCCUCAGGGGGUCCCCACACUGAUUCCUCCAGGCAGGAAACUAGGAAAGCAAGGCCCAUAGCUCCUUCUUGGGGCAGGGCAAGUCCUCCAGCCCUGGGCCUCUGCACAGAGCCAGAAUUGGGGGAGGUGCUCGCUGGUCUCAGCCCACUUGGUCCUGACUACUCCAUCUGAGAGGUUCCUCUGAGCACCUUGGCUCCCACAGGGCAAAUUGGGGCAUGGAAUAGUGCAGAGCAUUCCCAAGCACCACCCAGGAGUUAGUGAGUCCUCAGGACUGGGAGGUGGGGACACACCUUAGGAACAGCAGGUCCAGCACCUGCUGCAUGCUGCCGAACCUCCUAUAGGUGAACAGGAAUGUGGGCAUGAAGAAGGGGUUCCCAAGGCGAUGCACAGACACCAGGUGGUUCACCAGCUUCCUCAGUGUGCCUGGCUGGAGCAUCCU